GCUGGGGAUACAGCUCAGUUGGUAGAGUGCUUUCCUCACAUGCACAAGGCCCUGGGUUCAAUCCCCAACAGCA
rnacentral:tRNA from 1 species